CAUCACCUCCAGCAUUCCCAGUAUUGGAGGCAUUGCCUGCCCAGUGACAACUGUUUAACGGCCGCGGUAUCCUGACCGUGCAAAGGUAGCAUAAUCAUUUGUUCUCUAAAUAAGGACUUGUAUGAAUGGCCGCACGAGGGUUUUACUGUCUCUUACUUCCAAUCAGUGAAAUUGACCUUCCCGUGAAGAGGCGGGAAUGCACAAAUAAGACGAGAAGACCCUAUGGAGCUUUAACUAACCAACCCAAAGAGAAUAAAUUUAACCAUUAAGGAAUAACAACAAUCUCCAUGAGUUGGUAGUUUCGGUUGGGGUGACCUCGGAGAAUAAAAAAUCCUCCGAGCGAUUUUAAAGACUAGACCCACAAGUCAAAUCACUCUAUCGCUCAUUGAUCCAAAAACUUGAUCAACGGAACAAGUUACCCUAGGGAUAACAGCGCAAUCCUAUUCAAGAGUCCAUAUCGACAAUAGGGUUUACGACCUCGAUGUUGGAUCAGGACAUCCUGAUGGUGCAACCGCUAUCAAAGGUUCGUUUGUUCAACGAUUAAAGUCCUACGUGAC
rnacentral:rRNA from 1 species